AUGCAAGUCGAGCGGGGGAAGGUAGCUUGCUACCGGACCUAGCGGCGGACGGGUGAGUAAUGCUUAGGAAUCUGCCUAUUAGUGGGGGACAACAUCCCGAAAGGGAUGCUAAUACCGCAUACGUCCUACGGGAGAAAGCAGGGGAUCUUCGGACCUUGCGCUAAUAGAUGAGCCUAAGUCGGAUUAGCUAGUUGGUGGGGUAAAGGCCUACCAAGGCGACGAUCUGUAGCGGGUCUGAGAGGAUGAUCCGCCACACUGGGACUGAGACACGGCCCAGACUCCUACGGGAGGCAGCAGUGGGGAAUAUUGGACAAUGGGGGGAACCCUGAUCCAGCCAUGCCGCGUGUGUGAAGAAGGCCUUAUGGUUGUAAAGCACUUUAAGCGAGGAGGAGGCUACUUUAGUUAAUACCUAGAGAUAGUGGACGUUACUCGCAGAAUAAGCACCGGCUAACUCUGUGCCAGCAGCCGCGGUAAUACAGAGGGUGCGAGCGUUAAUCGGAUUUACUGGGCGUAAAGCGUGCGUAGGCGGCUUAUUAAGUCGGAUGUGAAAUCCCCGAGCUUAACUUGGGAAUUGCAUUCGAUACUGGUGAGCUAGAGUAUGGGAGAGGAUGGUAGAAUUCCAGGUGUAGCGGUGAAAUGCGUAGAGAUCUGGAGGAAUACCGAUGGCGAAAGCAGCCAUCUGGCCUAAUACUGACGC
rnacentral:rRNA from 1 species